GGAAUCUUGCGCAAUGGCCGAAAGGCUGACGCAGCGACGCCGCGUGCGGGAGGAAGCCCUUCGGGGUGUAAACCGCUGUCACCGGGGACGAACGGCACGGGGGCGAACAGCUCCUGUGCGUGACGGUACCUGGAGAGGAAGCGCCGGCUAACUCCGUGCCAGCAGCCGCGGUAAGACGGAGGGCGCGAGCGUUGUUCGGAAUCACUGGGCGUAAAGCGCGCGCAGGCGGGUCCGUGCGUCGGGAGUGAAAGCCCGGGGCUCAACCCCGGAUUGGCUCUCGAUACGGCGGGCCUAGGGACCGGUAGAGGCCGGUGGAAUUCCCGGUGUAGCGGUGGAAUGCGUAGAGAUCGGGAAGAACACCAGUGGCGAAGGCGGCCGGCUGGGCCGGAAAGCUCCCUUUGGGGAGUGUCCGACGCUCAUGCGCGAAAGCGUGGGGAGCAAA
rnacentral:rRNA from 1 species